rnacentral:rRNA from 1 species
ACCCCAACCCAGGAGAGGGUACUCGCCGAGUUUAAGCAUAUCAAUAAGCGGAGGAAA